GGCUGGUCCAAAGGUAGCGAAUUACCUCAAUUGAUUGUUCACAUUCAGUUAUAAAUGGAACUCUUUGUUCUACUCUUUCCCCCACUGUCACUACUGUACUUGACUAGUGUUAG
ensembl:misc_RNA Y_RNA Y RNA